rnacentral:rRNA from 1 species
GAUGAACGCUGGCGGCGUGCUUAACACAUGCAAGUCGAACGGAAAGGCCCAAGCUUGCUUGGGUACUCGAGUGGCGAACGGGUGAGUAACACGUGGGUGAUCUGCCCUGCACUUCGGGAUAAGCCUGGGAAACUGGGUCUAAUACCGGAUAGGACCACUUCUUGGAUGUUGUGGUGGAAAGUUUUUUCGGUGUGGGAUGAGCUCGCGGCCUAUCAGCUUGUUGGUGGGGUAAUGGCCUACCAAGGCGUCGACGGGUAGCCGGCCUGAGAGGGUGGACGGCCACAUUGGGACUGAGAUACGGCCCAGACUCCUACGGGAGGCAGCAGUGGGGAAUAUUGCACAAUGGGCGCAAGCCUGAUGCAGCGACGCCGCGUGGGGGAUGACGGCCUUCGGGUUGUAAACUCCUUUCGCUAGGGACGAAGCGUUUUGUGACGGUACCUGGAGAAGAAGCACCGGCUAACUACGUG